GGCUUAACGGUAAAAGCAGCUGCCUGGCAUGCAGAAGGCCACAGGUUCGAUCCCCAACAGCACCU